UGUCCAGCCCCCGGCUGCACCUGCCCUGCCCGGUCUGGGAAACAACUGCACUGGAGGAGCAAACCGACCCAAUGAGGGAGGUUUUUUCCAUUCAAAACUGAGGAAUCAUGAAACAGAGACUCUUUGGCCUUGUGUACCCAAAAUAUGGGUCUCUGGCAUGUCCCCUCAACCAAAGGAGGCUCCUCUGUCAGCAGCCAAGGAAACCAGGUCGGCUGCAGAUGUGUCCCUGGAGAAACGAGGCCAGUGUGGAUUCUCUGCUGUCUAAUACAGGCUCUUAAAGAAACGAGGAGAUACCUGGGGAGGGGAUACGUUAUUGAACACAGCGCCAAAAGCCCAGCUGCUCCCGAGGUGAGACGGCGUGGGAGGCGGCGCGGGAUGAAAAGCCAGGGGCCAAGCGUGGACAUGGCCCUGUGUCCACCAGAAAGGUCCAUAACCAACAGGUUUCCCCUCACUGAAGCCACCAACGGCCAUUGAAUCGCUCUGGUUGUCACCUGGGUUUUAAGCGGGCCGUGAGGCACCAGCGGGCCCUGGGCCGGAGAGCAUCGACGUGGCACAGUGAGUGGGGUCUCUUUUUCAGUUUGCAAACGAGAAAGGAUCCUGUUUUCCGUUCAAAGCAUGUCAUUUCAUUCCCCUUGCAAACGCCCCUCCGGCCGCACCGGGGCAGGCAGAGCACCGUGCCGCCGGGGAAGACUUGGUCCCGCUCUGCCGAGGGGGACCCUCUGCUUCGCUCUAUGCUGAAGGCGAUUUCCCAGCAAUUCCCCCACCCGCAGCCCGUGCCGGCUGGGCAGCACACGCUCCAUCUCGGCCCCGCAAAGCUGGGUGCAAAGCACCUGCCCGGGACGCGUGACCCCCCCGUCUGGGGGUCUGAGUCCGGACCCCCGGCCCAACUCGGUGCGCCGACGCGCUCUUGGCACUCUGCGCCGGGGCGAUUUAACACCACGUCUGUGUUAAGACCUUUGGGCCCACAAGGCCGGUCAGCCCUGUCCCCUCUCCAUCCCCGCUAGAUCGGGCCUUAAAAGCCUCCAAGAGUCGC